rnacentral:sRNA from 1 species
GGAUGCCAGGGUCAAAAAGUCAAAAAAGCCGACGCAUGCUUGCUUGCAGAAGGCGUUUUGACUUCUUGACCCGCCGAGAUAGGAGCAUAAAAGUGGGAUGCCAAUCCAACGAUAUGCGACUAUCAGGCUGGAUAGGAUCAUUAACAACCGCACAAAGAAAUGCAGCAUUU